GACGUAGGGGGCGAGCGUUGUCCGGAUUUAUUGGGCGUAAAGAGCUCGUAGGCGGCUCGUUGCGUCGGCUGUGAAAACCCGCAGCUCAACUGUGGGCUUGCAGCCGAUACGGGCGGGCUGGAGUUCGGUAGGGGAGACUGGAAUUCCUGGUGUAGCGGUGAAAUGCGCAGAUAUCAGGAGGAACACCGGUGGCGAAGGCGGUUCUCUGGGACGGUACUGACGCUGAGACGCGAAAGCGUGGGGAGCGAACAGG
rnacentral:rRNA from 1 species